AGAGUUCAACAGGGCGUGAAACCGCUUAGAAUAAAACGGACGGAGCCGUCGGUGGCCUUCCGGAAUCAGUCGUACGACGCGCGAUGGCGCGUUUCGCUCGAGCGAAAGUCGGGCGGGCGUGUCGGUAAAUAGUAGCGUUCGUUCGAUGCAUUUCCGGAGGGUAUGCGCCACGACCGAUGCGAAUGGCUAGCGAAUCCGGCGAUUUGAGGUGGAAACCCUUCGGGGUCUUCAUUACCAGUUCGUCGGCCUAUAAAUCGUUAGACCUUAUAAAGCAUCGAGCGCGAAAUAUAUCGAACACUGGCAUCAGUGCUCGUUUAAGCGGUGGAUAGUCGGCGGAAUAUGACGUACCUGCUCGCAGGUUAUGCGUAUCCCCGUUCGGCCUUUGAAAUCGCGGACGAGUCUAUAGUGUUCCGGCGUCGGUGGCGUCCGAGACGGUCAACCGUCCGACCCGUCUUGAAACACGGACCAAGGAGUCUAACGUACGCGCGAGCUAAUGAGUGGAAAACUCAUAAGCGCAAUAAAAGUAAUAGGUACGAUCCCUAGGUAUUUAUUUACCCUGGGCGCAGUACCGUCCCAUCCUGAUCGCUCGUCGAUAGGGUGGAGAUUGAGUGCAUACGUUGGGACCCGAAAGAUGGUGAACUAUGCCUGAGCAGAGCGAAGCCAGAGGAAACUCUGGUGGAGGUUCGUAGCGGUUCUGACGUGCAAAUCGAUCGUCAGACUUGGGUAUAGGGGCGAAAGUAU
rnacentral:rRNA from 1 species